rnacentral:rRNA from 1 species
GCGCACCAGGCGCGAACCUCCGCAAUACACGAAGUGUGACGGGCCAUCCCGAGUGCCGUCCGCUGAGGACGGCUUUCCCAGUGUACAUAGCCGGGGAAUAAGGAGAGGGCAAGCCUGGUGUCAGCCGCCGCGGUAAUACCAGCUCUCCGAGUGGUGGGGACGCUUAUUGGGCCUAAAGCAUCCGUAGCCGGCUGGGCAAGUCCUCCGUUAAAUCCAACGAUUCAAUCGUUGGGCUGCGGGGGAUACUGUCCAGCUUGGGGGGCGGGAGAGGCCGACGGUAUUCCCCGGGGUAGGGGUGAAAUCCUAU